GACGAAGGGGGCUAGCGUUGUUCGGAAUACUGGGCGUAAAGCGCGCGCAGGCGGUCUUCCAAGUCAGUGGUGAAAGCCCGGAGCUCAACUCCGGAACUGCCAUUGAAACUGUUAGACUUGAGGACGAGAGAGGUGAGUGGAAUUCCCAGUGUAGAGGUGAAAUUCGUAGAUAUUGGGAAGAACACCGGUGGCGAAGGCGGCUCACUGGCUCGGUACUGACGCUGAGGUGCGAAAGCGUGGGGAGCAAACAGG
rnacentral:rRNA from 1 species